UGGCGGACGGGUGAGUAAUGUCUGGGAAACUGCCUGAUGGAGGGGGAUAACUACUGGAAACGGUAGCUAAUACCGCAUAACGUCGCAAGACCAAAAGAGGGGGACCUUCGGGCCUCUUGCCAUCGGAUGUGCCCAGAUGGGAUUAGCUAGUAGGUGGGUAACGGCUCACCUAGGCGACGAUCCCUAGCUGGUCUGAGAGGAUGACCAGCCACACUGGAACUGAGACACGGUCCAG
rnacentral:rRNA from 1 species